GCUGGACAGGACUCAGGUGGGGCCUCUGCAAUGGGGCAGGACAGGUCCCAGAGGUCAGAUGCCACCUCUGGGUGUCAGAAUGGGAAGAGGUGUGAAGGCUGGCAUGGGGAUGUGCAGGCAGGCAUAUUUAUUGCCUCUUUGGGGUUGCCUUACAGUUAAAAUUUAUGGUGCAUCUUCUCUUCCAGCAGCACUUCCAGGAUCCAGCUUCUGUUUCCAGGGCAGCAAGGAUGACUGUGGAAAAUGGCAUGGUGUGAGUUUCCCCCCAGCCCUGGCACUCUGCUGCCUGAGGUAGGUCUGGGAAAGCUCCUGAGUCACCCUGGUCCCCAUUUGUUCCCAGUUGUGCCCAUGGGCCUGGGGGCACCGACAACACCAGGGCAUAGUGACAACCUCCAG
rnacentral:lncRNA from 12 species